AGCGAACGCUGGCGGCAGGCCUAACACAUGCAAGUCGAACGAACUCUUCGGAGUUAGUGGCGGACGGGUGAGUAACACGUGGGAACGUGCCUUUAGGUUCGGAAUAACUCAGGGAAACUUGUGCUAAUACCGAAUGUGCCCUUCGGGGGUAAGAUUUAUCGCCUUUAGAGCGGCCCGCGUCUGAUUAGCUAGUUGGUGAGGUAAUGGCUCACCAAGGCUACGAUCAGUAGCUGGUCUGAGAGGAUGACCAGCCACAUUGGGACUGAGACACGGCCCAAACUCCUACGGGAGGCAGCAGUGGGGAAUCUUGCGCAAUGGGCGAAAGCCUGACGCAGCCAUGCCGCGUGGAUGAUGAAGGUCUUAGGAUUGUAAAAUCCUUUCACCGGUGAAGAUAAUGACUGUAGCCGGAGAAGAAGCCCCGGCUAACUUCGUGCCAGCCGCCGCAGUAAUAC
rnacentral:rRNA from 1 species